rnacentral:rRNA from 1 species
AUGCAUAAAACCAUAGUUGUCUUAAUUCUUAUGUACUUCUUUAUUGAACUAUUGCCAUUUGAGAUAUAUUUAACUGUUCCACUUCCUUGCUUUCAUUUCUUACUUGGAACAGAGGAAAGGGCCUUCAAGGAGCUUUUACACUUUAUGUAUAGUGGAAAGUUGACACCAGCAAUUGAGCCCACUCUUUUGGUUGACAUCUUGAUGGCUGCUGACAAAUUUGAGGUCGUUUCUUGCAUGGAGCAUUGCUGUCAGCGUUUGUCACGCCUGCCUAUGACCCCAAAAUCGGCAGUGAGGUGCCUAGAUCUUCCUUGUUCCAUUUCUAUGGCUGCCACCCUGACAAAGACGGCCAAAAAAUUCCUUGCUCAAUGGUACAAGGAUUUUCUGUCAACAGAGUUUCAAGAUGAACUCAUGAGGGUCCCUCUUGCUGGGAUCCAGGCCAUCUUAUCAAGCAAUCGCCCUCGGACUGCAUCUGAAGAAUCCAUCUAUGACUUUGUGCUCAGGUGGGCACGUUCACAGUACCCAAAUUCAGAGGAAAGGGACAAGAUUUUGAGUUCAAGGUUACUUCCAUUAGUGCCACUCAGUAUGACCGAUGCCAUUCGAAUUGAUCAUCCGUCUAACAUAGUUAACUUCACUAUAAACCGUGAUCUGUGCAACAAUCUCUUCCCAUUAGGAACGGUGCGUUCAGUGCCGUUCAAUUGCGAAGGGCUUGCCUUCUUCAUCUCGGCAUGCUGUAAGGAGAAGGAGCAGUUGCAGUUUUUUAACCUCUCAAUAAAUAUGAUAGAAGGCAAAGGGGCGACAUGGGGGCCUAUAGAUUAUAAGAUUGAGGUAAUGACAAGACGUUCGCUGGAGUUUGUCACCAAACACAGGCACACCACUCCCCCCAAUACUAGGCAAACUGUUGGAUGCAAGGUUCCUUGGUCGGAGUUAAUGGCUGACGACAGCACCUUUUUCAUCGACGGCAAACUCCAUGUGCGAGUUCAUGUGAAGAUAUCACAGCAGGCGUAG